GCCCCGAUAGCUCAGUAGGCAGAGCGUCUCCAUGGUAAGGAGAAGGUCCAGGGUUCAAAUCCCUGUUGGGGCU
rnacentral:tRNA from 1 species